AACAUCAAUAAGAGAGAAAUGACCAGCUGCCUCCUGCACACCCUGCAACCAAGGUACAUGCCCUUCACCGGAAUCGAAUCUGGGACCCUUCAGUCCGCAGGCCAACGCUCUAGCCACUGAGCCAAACCAGCUAGGGCUGUACCACUACUUUUUUAUCUACUUGUCUAAUAAUAGAUAAUUGAGUUGCUUCCGUAUCUUGGCUAUAGUAAAUAACACUGUAGUAACACUGAACAUAGGGGUGCAUAUAUUCUUUUGAAUUAGUGCUUUAGGUUUCUUCAUAUAUAUGCCAAGAAGUGGAAUCUCUGGGUCAUAGGGCAGUUCCAUUUUUAAUUUUUUGAGGACCCUCCAUACCGUUUUCCAAUCUGCAUUCCCACCAACUGUGCACAAGGGUUCCCUUUUUUCUACAUCCUUGCCAACACUUGUUUGUUGAUCUGUGAAGUAAUUCUAAGUCAUUGGUCACAGGUGAAGCUAUAAGAUAGGUGGGGUCAAGAUGGCCCAGAGAACUGUGUGUAUGUAUGUGUGUGAGCGUGUGAUUUUUUUUUUUUUUUUACAGUGGCUGGCUGUCUAAAGUAUUUUUUACAAUAUGUUUAAUAAUCAGUGCUUUAAAAGCAGUGGUUUCCUACAAAGUGGAAACUAAGGUCCAAGCCUGGAGUGUGAAGUGGAGGUCACGUUGCAAUGUCACCGCCUGUGAGUGAAGUCUGGUCUGGGGAGCCCAGGGCGGCUCGUGGACACUCGUGGUGGCAGGAGCCAGGCUGCCCUUGAGAGACAGGACCCACUGCAGCUGGCCGGCCUGCCUUUUCAUUUCUAAUGGGAUACAGUACUUUUUAAAUAAGGAGUCAUACUUUUUUUUUAAGUUUGAGAAAUGAAUGUGAUUUCUAAUUGUAUCAGACAUUGUUUUAAAGCUAUAACAAAGUUUAAAAUUUCUACAUUUUGUUUUUCAUUUAUUGUAACUGUUCUUUUAUCUAUUAAAUUGUAUGUGGAUGGGGACGUUCUGUUUCCCCUCUUAGCAUUUGUUUCUAUAACCAGAAAUAAAGUUAUAUAUUAAAGAAAUGAGAAAAAAAAAUGGCCCAGAGAUAGGGUUGCCAGAUUUAGCAAAUAA